rnacentral:rRNA from 1 species
GACUGCGUACCUUUUGUAUAAUGGGUCAGCGACUUAUAUUCUGUAGCAAGGUUAACCGAAUAGGGGAGCCGGAGGGAAACCGAGUCUUAACCGGGCGUUAAGUUGCAGGGUAUAGACCCGAAACCCGGUGAUCUAGCCAUGGGCAGGUUGAAGGUUGGGUAACACUAACUGGAGGACCGAACCGACUAAUGUUGAAAAAUUAGCGGAUGACCUGUGGCUGGGGGUGAAAGGCCAAUCAAACCGGGAGAUAGCUGGUUCUCCCCGAAAGCUAUUUAGGUAGCGCCUCGUGAAUUCAUCUCCGGGGGUAGAGCACUGUUUCGGCUAGGGGGCCAUCCCGGCUUACCAACCCGAUGCAAACUGCGAAUACCGGAGAAUGUUAUCACGGGAGACACACGGCGGGUGCUAACGUCCGUCGUGAAGAGGGAAACAACCCAGACCGCCAGCUAAGGUCCCAAAGUCAUGGUUAAGUGGGAAACGAUGUGGGAAGGCCCAGACAGCCAGGAUGUUGGCUUAGAAGCAGCCAUCAUUUAAAGAAAGCGUAAUAGCUCACUGGUCGAGUCGGCCUGCGCGGAAGAUGUAACGGGGCUAAACCAU